UUUCAGGGCAAGAAACCAGAUCUCUCCUCUUGGAAAGAGUAGAUUAAUGAUUUCUUUGAGUAGAAUUCGGAUGCACUGUAGGAACCCAGUGAACCGAGGUCAAGAGGAAAGUCCCGAACCCAUUUUGGAGCAUAAGCUUGGAUAAUAACAUGGCAGAUAAAUAUUACGGUGUUGAAAGAAGAUCUGUUAUUUCUGAAAUGUGGGAACAAGUGUUACUGUUGAGAUGCAUGUCUAACAAACUGCCCCACAAAGGGUACAUGCUUCAUUUGGCAAAUUGAAUCUGGAAACACAGAACUGAGCCAGGCCAGCCCAGAAGAUAUGACCCUAAAGCUUCCAUUGUCAAUGAUAAACUGGCUUUUAAAAAACACAAAAAAUCAAAGUAAUACAUGCUUACAAUUUAGAAAACCCAGCAAUACUAAAAUGUUUAUUUAUUUAUAUUCAUAUUUGUGAAUAUUACUGAUAAUGCUGAAGUGCUUAUAUACAUAAACAUUGCAAAUUUUUAUGUUUCAUAGCUCUUGAGCCACCCCUCCUUAUCCCAAAUUUCAUUUCUGUUUUUCAAAGAUUGUCUGCUCUUUUAGCUACUUUUUAAUGUAAUAUUUCCAAAUAAGAUGUUUCUUUAUCUGUGUAAAAUAUCAAAUUAUUUAUUAUGUGUUUCCCAUUAUGGUAGAUUAAAUGUUUC
rnacentral:lncRNA from 1 species